rnacentral:rRNA from 1 species
AAUAGAUACCCUGGUAGUCCACGCCGUAAACGAUGUCGACUUGGAGGUUGUGCCCUUGAGGCGUGGCUUCCGGAGCUAACGCGUUAAGUCGACCGCCUGGGGAGUACGGCCGCAAGGUUAAAACUCAAAUGAAUUGACGGGGGGCCCGCACAAGCGGUGGAGCAUGUGGUUUAAUUCGAUGCAACGCGAAGAACCUUACCUACUCUUGACAUCCAGAGAACUUAGCAGAGAUGCUUUGGUGCCUUCGGGAACUCUGAGACAGGUGCUGCAUGGCUGUCGUCAGCUCGUGUUGUGAAAUGUUGGGUUAAGUCCCGCAACGAGCGCAACCCUUAUCCUUUGUUGCCAGCGGUUAGGCCGGGAACUCAAAGGAGACUGCCAGUGAUAAACUGGAGGAAGGUGGGGAUGACGUCAAGUCAUCAUGGCCCUUACGAGUAGGGCUACACACGUGCUACAAUGGCGCAUACAAAGAGAAGCGACCUCGCGAGAGCAAGCGGACCUCAUAAAGUGCGUCGUAGUCCGGAUUGGAGU